UCUGCUCGAGCCUCCUCACGUCCUGUUCCAAAAUAUAAAAUUAAUUUCCCCAACCAAUAAUCCAAUAUUUAAUCAAAAUAGGCAAAAUUACCCGAGAGCCAUAAAUACGCUCAUCAUUGCCUAACUUCGAUAUUCUUAAAUCGGAACGAUCCGAACUUAAAUAUCAUAUUCAACAGUCGUAAAUACAACCUCCCCAAAAUACGACUUAAAUCCUACGGCCGGAUUCUACAUUAAUUAACCGCUAAAAAUACCAAACUUCGGAAAUUCACAAACCUAUCCAAAUCUCAUCCAAAAAUUCCAUAAUUCACAUCAAUAUACUCCUCUUAAUAUUCCACACUUAAAACCCUAAAAAUCUCCUAACCGGCGGCGGCGCCGCCGGUGGCUCCGCCGGCAGCGGCGGCCGGAGGCCAAUUCCAGCGACCUCCAAAACCUAUGAAAUUUUGACAGAAUAAUCUCCUCAUCAUGCUCUACAACUUUCUUGACCAACACAUCACCUAAUUCCAGGCCUAACUAGGCUAAUCGAACAAAAACAUCCUAAAAGCCCUAGAAAUUUCAACUCCACAUUUCUCCUUACCUAACUCAAGAGGGAGUGAGCUGAUUGGAGGGGUUGUUGCACGGGAGGAGGGCUACAAAACGAGCCAAGGAUCACCGGUUUUGGUGGCCGGAGGAGGGAGCUCUGGCGAGAGAACCACCACGGCAGCUAGCGGCUCCGGGCGACGUUUCUCUCUCACGGCGGCACUAGGGAAGCUGCUACCGGCCUAGAAUGGAAGUUGGGUUGGAGACCGAUCGAUUGGGACCGGUGCGGCGGUCUGGGGCGGCCGGACGGCGGCGGUCGGGCGGUCGGAAUUCCGGCAGGGAAAGGCUCGGGUGCGGGAGCGGGAGAGGAGAGAGAGAAUCGGGAGAAAAAGAGAGGAAAAGAGAAUGGGUUUGGGCCUCACACCCCAAACCGGUCCAUCACCUAUAUACUACCCAAUUCUAAAAUAAAACACCCCGAAAAAUAAUACCCGAAUAAAAAUUACCUUUUACUAGCUAAAAUUUACUAUUUUUACCGUCGUCGUAUUUUCCUCUCACGAAUAAUCCUCAGCACAAUAAUCGUCCCCGAAACCCCUCUAGGGACCAAUUAAGCUAUUAACUCAAUGAUCGAGACGGUAAAAUUCUUAUUAUAAUCACGGUAGUAAAUAAGGUA
rnacentral:lncRNA from 1 species